GCACCGGCCAGCUAGCCCCUUUGUGCGGCGGGGGCUGCGGAGUGCUCCCUCCAAGACCGGUUGCACCCCGCUUUCCUGGCCAGGACUCUGGGCGCGGCAGCUACAAAGACGACGCCGGCUGCGCUCGCGGGACCAGAGGGAGGGAGGCUGCGGACGAGUGCGGGGAGGAGUUUGAGAUGGGAGGCGCUUGCAGGGGCUCCCCCAGUUCUGCGCUGUGAGCCGGGGCACAAAGAGCCCUCUGCACUAGCGCCGCAGGACCGCGGACCCGAGUUGGAGGCAUCUGUCCACCCAUGUGGUUCCAGACACGUUCAUGUGGCCACCAUGACCCCGUCGGCAUCACAGGGGUAACCAAGGUGAUCCUCCCUCUCUUCCUGUGUCCACUGGGGAUGGUAGAGACCAGCUUAAUGCUUUGAGAUCAGAUCCAUCACGAAAUCCGUAUGUCCUGAGACCUCCUGAAUCUUAAGAGAGCAGCAAGUUCCUGGGACAGAGGAGACAGAAGGGAAUUUCCAGGUUCUUCAGGACGUUCACAACCACACUGAGAAGCAUCUUUGCAGAUAAGUAUUUAAACUUACCAGCCCAUAGCCUACCAGCCUGCCCUCUUCUGGUCUGUGCAGGAAAGUGUAGUAUCCUAGAAUGCCAAAGUGGGAGGGGAAAUGGGUGAUGUAGCUCAUUCUCUUUUCUACCUCUAUGGAAGAAAGAAAGAGCCUGUCCCCAUUUUGUGGGGUCCCAGAAAGGGUGAUUUUCACACUUCACAUUUGGCGUUAGGGCUAGUAUUUCACAAACAUUACCGUCUGGAACUUUUGAAGGCUGAGUUAAAUGACUUCAUCUUGUGUACUUGUAGAACUGCUAUUAGAAGGAGGCUGGGGACUCCCUGAUGAUGUGAACCAGCCCUUCUCUUCUCAGUUUCAGCACUUUGUGAUCAUAUUUAUAAACCUUGGACAGGGCUCCUUGGCCUUAGAGUUAAGUGAAGAGUUAACACUGUGACUUUAGAUGCAUUUUUCUCAGUGUAAGUGUCUGAGCUCAUCUCCAGUUCUGGACUCGUGCCCCCACUCCCGGGUGCUGACAGCAAGCUCUGAAGAUAUGCUGAGAGAGCUCCCUGACUCUCCUGACUCAGGUCUGCCAGUUGAUGAAGACAGCACAGUUGUUACCAAAAACAAAACCUGGCAGAUGGUCCUAGGUCAGGAUUAGUGGUCAUUCUCUGGUCUUCUCCAGACUGGUGACACAGGGUGGUCUUAAAAGAGUCCUAGUCCAGCCUCUGGCUCCCCGAAUUUCCUCUGGUGCAUGGGGCAUCAGGAAAGGGCAGGGGAGAAGGAGGGGGAGCAGAAAAAUAACUGAGGCUGGGCAGAAGGGUCCCUUCCAUUUCCCAUCCAUUGCUUCAAACAAUGGGUGAUUACCGUGCACCUUGAGUGAAUGUCAAGGCAGGAAGGGUUCCAGGGCCACCCAGUGUGGCAGGAGCAGAGCUGGGAUCAGAAUUCUGGAUUCCUGACUCUCCGUUCAGCUGCUAUUCAGCUAUCACCAAGCUGCUGAGUUUGUCCUACUUUCUCCUGGGUCACAUUCUGCUGUUGUUGGGAAACAGGGAGUGAGUGAAGGGAACCUGGGAACCCUUCUCCCCUCACCUUUUAAGGAUGUUCUGGGGUGGAAUAAAGAGAGGUGGAGGGUGGGGUGCCUGGGCCCAGCCUCCCUGGCUCCUGGUCCUUCUUUCUUCAGCAGGGAGUUCUGGCAAGGCCUGGGCCUGGGGAGGGGGCCUGGGUGCAGUUUUCUCCUGCGGUGUGGUUGGCUCUUUUGUCUUCCAGGAUGGGCCUGUGGGGUCUGUGUGGGGAAGGAAGGAGCUGGGAGCCUGGGCUGCCUGUGUGUCGGCUGGAUGCUGCCAGCACCGGCAUGGACCAAGCAACUUCUCUGAGCCAGAUGCUGGGGACGCAGAGGUGAACCCAGAGACAUGAUCCCAUCUGCUCAGAUCUUCAUGUCAGAACACGCUUUAUUACAGUCUCGGCAAGGGGGUGGCUCCAUCUGGGCCGCAUCUCCAGGACUCCUGGCCUGGACUUCUCUUUGGACCUCGGGUGACCUUGGAUUCUGGCCACAGUGACUUAGCGGUCAGACUCCGGUGGUUUUCUAGCCCGCUGGGUGACUCCCUGAAGAUCUCAUCCUCUUCACACCUGCCUGGCAGCCCACUACUCCCUCC
rnacentral:lncRNA from 10 species